AGUAACCACGCCAUGCAAUAUGAAAUCUUUCCAAAUCAUCAUCCAAACAUAAAGUUAAUUACCAAGAGGGCAAGAAAUUUUGGAGAGAGAGACUCUCCCUUUCUUUUCUUCAUCUGCUUCCAAGGCUUCAUCCUUUGCAGCUAUUUGUAUAGUGGUCUUCCCUUGCCCUUUCUAGCUGGGAGAGCUUCUUUCUGGCCUCGAUAAUGGGCUUAUCCUUCUCAACUUUGAAUUUAUGUAAAUACUUUUGUGUUGCUCUUGUUGUGUAUAGGUCCUGUAGAUCUAUGGAGAGGGAUGUUUUUGUUGACUUACAUACGGGUUUUAUCUAGAUCGCUUUGAUGCUCUGGAUCUAUAGCUGAGUUUGGCUCAAUGGGAAAGGUUUCAUUAAGAGGUCGAGAUGUUCGGCACCUCCGAAGUUACAAUGCCACUUCCGCUGCUGGAUGGCGACUCUGCCUUCAUCACCUUCCCCCAGUAAAUGGUUCUAGUUUUGAGGCUUUGAGGUUCUAUUGCCAUUGGGUGAGGUUGGAUGGCCUUUUCAUGAAAUUUCCUCUAGCUCGCUCUAAGCUUUAUUAUGGAUGACAACAAUCUUCCCACCUAGUUGGUGACCUAGCUUUAAUCAGAGCAGUUGGCUAGUGAUGUUGAGUUGUUUCUGUUUAUUCUUGAUCGGCGGUGCAGGAUUAUGAGUUGUUCCUUUAUUGGUACCUAGGGUUCCUAUUCUAGGAUUGAUAUAUGUAUCUGCAUUGGGCCUAUGGGACCUCAUUCCCUUAUUCUGUUGUAUUGGAUACCCAUGUGUACUGGGCUGUACUUCCUUUGGUUGUAUUAUUUGAGGCCUAAAU
rnacentral:misc_RNA from 1 species